rnacentral:lncRNA from 1 species
AAGUUUUAACUUUUAACUUCUGUUUCCUUUACUUUCACUUCCUCCGACAGAGGCUUCCAAAAUCCCUAACCCGUGCCUUCCUCCCUUUUUUUUCCCAUUUCCAAAAUCAAGUUGUUUGCUGGUCCUCCACCGAAUCACCGAUCCACCUCCAUUGUCAAGACCUCCACCGAUCUACCUCCGGUCCUCCACCCAAUUCCAGAAUCAAGCAUUUAGGGGUUUGUUUAUUCCCGAAUCGCCAACAAAUUCGUUUUUAAGGUAAGCCAUUUGUUUAUUCGUUAAUGUUCAUUUGUUCAUAACUUUAUAUGAAUUUUUAUGUUAAUUAUUUUGAUUUUUGGGUAAUAAUGUUUUCAAAGUUAUGAAUCAAAUCAUCCUUGUUGUUCAAUACUCCUGCAACAGCCAACAAUUCUUGAGCUGCAAAAAAGCAGUUUCCCUGAAACUCUUAACCUUCACUAAACAAAAAUGGGUGCACUUUAACCCUAUCCCUGAACUCACUUUAGAAGUCUUCAACAAAUAACAAGUUGGUGCCAGCCCACACCCUUGGCCCUGCACCACAAUCCCCCAUGCCCUCGAUACCUCUUCUUUUCCAUCGCUCUUUUCAUCAUCUCCUUCUAUUUGCUCAACAAAUAUCACCCCACACUUCAAGGCUGUUUGGCUUCCAUGAAAUUCCAACUCAACCUUUGAUUCUCUACUCCCAAUCCUUACGGGCAGUCCAUGCAACCUAUUGAUUUGGGAUAAGAUUAAAAGUUGUGCAUUAUUACCCAUAAAAUGUUGUGCAUUAUAGUGGGAAGAAAUUGAAAGUUGGGUUGCUUUCUGGUUUCUUCCAUUUGUGUUAGGGUGAUUUAACUGUAUAAUAACUGCAUGUACAUUGGUGGUGCUGUGCCAUAGUUGUAUGUACCCAAUAUCUGUAUGUAACUUACAAACCUUGAAAUUGAACAAGGAUUUAUUUAGUAACGAAAGUGGACAAAACGAGAUGUGUUUGAACUCAUGUUCUGAUGCAUUUGAAACAUGUGGUGAACACAGUUCUUUGUAGCAAUAUGAAUGUCUGAGGCUCGUUUUUUGCUAGCUUGCUUUCAAGAUGUUGGAAACAUGAUAUGUUUGAUUGCCUGUAAUAUCACGAAAAAACAUCAUUUGCAAUUUGCAAAUAAUUCUUUGGAUGAUGGUGGAAUGCAUAUGGCCUUGUUUGAUUCCUGAGGUGGUUUUAUUUGCAGGAUUAUUCUUAAUCCCUUUCUUGUGUAUUUUCAGCUGUGUAGUGGAAAAGCUGCCUUAAAUUUUGGAGCGUCUGUCAAAAGAACAAAUAAGCUAUCAGGUGUGCUCUGUUCUCUAGAGAGGCUUUUGGGAGGGGGAUAAUUUUUUUGUGAUUAAAAUAUUUGAAUUUUUUAAGAAAUCAUUAACAAUGGAUUUUGAAACGAAUUUUUCAAUUAGCUUUCUGUUAAUCUAUGAUUCAAUCAAAUAAUUAAGUGGUAAAUGUUUGUUUAUAUGUUUAUAUCUGGAAAUAAAGUUCUCAGAAUUUUGAAAUUGCAUGAGAUUCGAGUUUAAUGAAUUUAUUAUAAUGUUUACUAAGAUCACAAGCUUAGUUUAUUCAUUUAAUCUCAUCUUCUUCUUUUUUUUUUGCUUUGUUUUAUUGCAGAAACAAUCGACAUUGAAAUCGAUUUGGCUUACCUUAGCUUCCUUUCCUGUAAGCUUUCAUUUACAUUUUCUUUUUACAAUUUAAUUUAAUUUUCCUUUAUUUUACUUUGUACAACAUUUUGCAGAUUAGCAGAUUUUCCCGUAAGCUAAACUUGCUUAUCUACUAGUAGGAAAAUAAUGGGAUUGAGACAUAGAGAUGCUUCUAUUUAAGAUUUUGGAUUGGAUUUAUGCCGUUUGAAUUUCAUUAAUUUCUCUUUUGGUACAUAUGUAAUUUAGCUUAUAGAAUAAGUACGACUAUCUCAAUUGAAAGUGAUUAAAUCCUGCGCAUGUAAUAUUGGUUGGUUUUAAGAUAAAAAAAUGUAAACUUAUUUGUUUACAAAAAUAUUUGCUAAUACAAAAAUGUAAACUAAUCAAAUGUUA